rnacentral:rRNA from 1 species
GCUUACAGCCAGACUCCUCGUGCGCCAGCCUGAUCUCUUCUGAUCUCAAGAGUCUAAGCAGGAUUGCACCUGCACUGCAUGGCAGUGAGGCUGUCUGGGGAAUACUGGAGGUGUAAACU